GUUGAAACAUUGGUAAAAUGUACAAAUUUUUUGUACAUAUUACCAAAAUCCGGUAAAACUGAUGUCAGAUGUAAUGUACAUCCCUACCAGAGAUUCGUACAUUUUACUUCAUGCCAUUUGUAACCUUCAAUGUUUUCAUUCCUAGCGACUGUGAAGUGCGCACUUCGUAAUCGCCAUUUUUUUGUGGAAGCGAAGCAAUUCGGAGAUAUUCCGAAAUAUACUCAUUUUGGACGACGUUUCUUCUAUUCUACUACUGAUAGAAGCAUUUCCAUUUGCGAUCAAUCGUAAACGAACAUUUUACAACAGCCAUGAUUCGAUGCUAAUAUUUGGCGAUACAAACUAGGGAAAGGAAGAACCAAUAACGAUUCACCAUCGGUCCGUGCAAACGGUAUCAAAUGAGCGUAUCUUUUCGUCGACCAACGGCAGCGACCAGCGAAUCAACAAGUGCAGCUGAUUCCAGCACGAAUAGCUCUUCUGUUUCUUCACUGGAGCAUCGAAAAUCCCUAUCAGGCUCAGGUGCAGGCAAGAAUCAAUGAAGGAGGAGCAAGCUACGCUACCGCAAGUAUAGUCAUUUGCUCAUAAAAUUUACAAGAUGUAUCGAAACUCUCUAGGAAAAGUGUCGUCAUUCGUUUUUUCUACAAACUGAUAACCUCUGCGUGAUAAUGAUGUGUCAGGAAGAUCCAAUCAACUGCUUUUCUCAACCGCAGGAUGACAUGGAACAUGAAGAACGUCAGAACCGACUACGUGCUCUGUGCAAUCAUCAGGAUCUGUUCCAGGAGGAGAGUGUUGAAUUUGAUACUGGAAAGCAUCGACAAAAUCAAUGUCAUAUCGUCACUAGGUUUCAUGAUUUCCUCCUGGCUAGUGAUGAAAAAGUUGGGAGUCGAUAUCUGGAUAUCUGUUCCAACUACUAGCGGUUGUCAUCAAGGAAAACUCAGUUUGCUAACUUAAAUCAUUUUAAUUGGCUCAUCCCCCAUCUUGGAACGCAAGCAUCUAGUAAGGACUCCGGAUCGAUUUGUAAAUAUCUCGCCUCUCGAGAACCAUAAUCGUGCUCCGAUGAUUUUGUAUGUGUUGUGUUCACUGUGCGUUGGUAAUGGUCGGUAUGGUUGGUUGGUCGGUAAUCCUAAUAUCCUCGUUCAUCGUGUUGAGGAAUCUGGGGUGUACCAGAAGUGUUACUUUGAAAUUACUAUGGACCAUAACGGACAAACGUGCACAAACAUAACACCGCGUUUGCGAAUUAAUUGGGCCAAUACUGCUGAAUAUGUUGAGGAUGUAAAAAUGGGGCGAAAAUGACGUUGGUAAUAAUUUGCAUACUCAUGAUUCCGGACGUGACAAAACUAUUCAUCGCAAAAGGAAUGGAAUUGCACGCUAGAUCUCAGCGUCGGUGAUACGGUUUAUGUUCAAUGGAGAGCCAAUGCAUGUUUGAUUUUAAUCUAACUUGAAUGUUUUUUUUCCGGUGAUGAGCUGCUCGUCGAAGCUAAGUUGUCAAUUUUAUUUUGGUUUCCGCGUUUCUGUCUGCGAUAUUGAACCCUAAGUUGGAAGAAUUCGGCGAUCUGCUGGUCGAGAGCACUCACAACUUGUGAGACAAAGAGCGAAUUCAACAAAGUUAAACAAAGACAACGAAAACCAUCGUAGCUCCCAUUCAGUUCCGUACAGCAUAUACGGCUAUGGCGACUAUCAGAAAGCUGUUGAUCUAUGGAUACAAUUCGGACCAACAAACUGGUGAGACGAAUGAGCCCCUUGCGGCGGAAGCAUUCAGACAGAACUUCGCAACCAUCAGAACGCACCUAGCGGAGAAGACGUAUGCUGUUAUGUCAAGACAGACAUACUUUUAGUUUGAGGACUGCAAUUCCGGAACGAUGUUGGGGAAUGAUGAUCCAUCGUGUGCUUUUGAUGGCUACAAUAUAAGCAUGAGCACAAAUAUCGAAUCCGAUUGUUCAAUACGACCAACCACGACCCCUCAAUCCAAUGUAGUUGUUCUGUUACAAGAAAACAAGCCCCAAAUUCCUACUGAAGACACAUUUCCACUGCCUCGCCAAGAGCAAAUCACAUAGAUGGUUGCCGAAAAAUUUCAAAUGUAAGUUUAUAUGAACCCCCUUCUUCGAACUCUGGGGUAUUCCAGAGCGUCACAAUUAAAUGGGCAAGUAAACUACACCUGCGCAGGGUCGAAGAUUUCGGUAGGCGAUACCUGGUCGGAGACGUAAUCGUUUUCUUCUUAAAUAUCCACGACAAGAUCAGCAAGAGAGGAAUAAAUACGAACUAAGAGUACUGGGUACUGGUGUCAUCAACUUCCUGCUAAUCAGCGCCCCAUUCUCUAGAGACAGCGAUGCAGUAGAAGGAGUUAUUGCGACGAGAAUUAUUGUUGUUUUCAUAUUUUACAUUUUUUUUAUUGUAGAACUAUUGAAAUUGUAUAUAGAAUAAGUUAUUAGUGAAAUAUUAUAUUAAAAUAACAUGUUAUCAAACACAGGAUUUUAAAUAAAACAA